UUCAUUUCCACUUCAUUCUGGAGUGGAAAGAAGUCAGGAAAAACAAUCAAAAUAUUGACAAAUGGCAGAGGAAGGACCACCAGUUACAGGCUGCCUUUAAAUCUUGACUGCAAAUUUGCCGCAAAGAAGUAGAGGCACUGUGAUAUGAAGAAUGUAGUAAAUGGGAUGCUCUGAAAAGUUGAUUCAUUUUGAACACCAAGCUAAGGAUAUGGUGAAUUUGGUACUGUGAUGGAUCAUGAAGAGAGAGCCUCCUCCUUGAAUUGAGUUCAUCUUGAUAUAUUUUGGUGACAGAAUGUGGUGGAAGUGAUGCCAUGUAAUGAUACCUCUUG